GUGACCUCGAUCAGGUAGGGAUACCCGC
rnacentral:rRNA from 1 species